GAUGAACGCUGGCGGCGUGCCUAAUACAUGCAAGUCGAGCGAACAGACGAUGAGCUUGCUCCUCGGACGUUAGCGGCGGACGUGUGAGUAACACGUGUAUAACCUACCUAUAAGACUGGGAUAACUUCGGGACACCGGAGCUAAUACCGUAGAAUAUAUUGAACCGCGGGGGUCAAUAGUGAAAGACGGCUUUUCUGUCACUUAUAGAUGGAUCCGCGCCGCAUGAGGUGGUUGGUAAGUUAACGGCUUAUCAAGGCGACGAUGCGUAGCCGACCUGAGAGGCUGAUAGGCGACCCUGGAACUGAGCCACGGUCCAGGCUACUACGGGAGGCCGCAGUAGGGAAUCUGACGCAGUGGGCGAAAGCAUGACGGAGCAACGCGGAGCGAGUUAUGACGGUCUUCGGAGCGUAAAAAUCUGUUAUGAGGGAAGAACAACUGUGUAAGUAAAUGUGCCCGGAUUGACGGUAACUAAUAAGAAAGCCACGGCUAACUACGUG
rnacentral:rRNA from 1 species